rnacentral:rRNA from 4 species
UAGGGAAUCUUCCGCAAUGGACGAAAGUCUGACGGAGCAACGCCGCGUGAGUGAUGAAGGUUUUCGGAUCGUAAAACUCUGUUAUUAGGGAAGAACAAAUGUGUAAGUAACUGUGCACAUCUUGACGGUACCUAAUCAGAAAGCCACGGCUAACUACGUGCCAGCAGCCGCGGUAAUACGUAGGUGGCAAGCGUUAUCCGGAAUUAUUGGGCGUAAAGCGCGCGUAGGCGGUUUCUUAAGUCUGAUGUGAAAGCCCACGGCUCAACCGUGGAGGGUCAUUGGAAACUGGGAAACUUGAGUACAGAAGAGGAAAGUGGAAUUCCAUGUGUAGCGGUGAAAUGCGCAGAGAUAUGGAGGAACACCAGUGGCGAAGGCGACUUUCUGGUCUGUAACUGACGCUGAUGUGCGAAAGCGUGGGGAUCAAACAGGAUUAGAUACCCUGGUAGUCCACGCCGUAAACGAUGAGUGCUAAGUGUUAGGGGGUUUCCGCCCCUUAGUGCUGCAGCUAACGCAUUAAGCACUCCGCCUGGGGAGUACGACCGCAAGGUG